AUUGAACGCUGGCGGCAGGCUUAACACAUGCAAGUCGAGCGGGGGAGGUUGCUUCGGUAACUGACCUAGCGGCGGACGGGUGAGUAAUGCUUAGGAAUCUGCCUAUUAGUGGGGGACAACAUCUCGAAAGGGAUGCUAAUACCGCAUACGUCCUACGGGGGAAAGCAGGGGAUCUUCGGACCUUGCGCUAAUAGAUGAGCCUAAGUCGGAUUAGCUAGUUGGUGGGGUAAAGGCCUACCAAGGCGACGAUCUGUAGCGGGUCUGAGAGGAUGAUCCGCCACACUGGGACUGAGACACGGCCCAGACUCCUACGGGAGGCAGCAGUGGGGAAUAUUGGACAAUGGGCGGAAGCCUGAUCCAGCCAUGCCGCGUGUGUGAAGAAGGCCUUUUGGUUGUAAAGCACUUUAAGCGAGGAGGAGGCUACUAGUAUUAAUACUACUGGAUAGUGGACGUUACUCGCAGAAUAAGCACCGGCUAACUCUGUGCCAGCCGCCGCGGUAAGAC
rnacentral:rRNA from 1 species